rnacentral:rRNA from 1 species
GAUGAACGCUGGCGGCGUGCCUAACACAUGCAAGUCGAACGGAAAGGCUCCUGCUUGCAGGGGUACUCGAGUGGCGAACGGGUGAGUAACACGUGGGUGAUCUGCCCUGCACUUCGGGAUAAGCCUGGGAAACUGGGUCUAAUCCCGGAACGGACGAUGGUUUGGAUGCCAUUGUGGAAAGGUUUUUCGGUGUGGGAUGAGCUCGGGGCCUAUCAGCUUGUUGGUGGGGUAAUGGCCUACCAAGGCGUCGACGGGUAGCCGGCCUGGGAGGGGGGACGGCCACAAUAGUACUGAGGGAGGGCCCAGACGCGUACGGGGGACAACGGUGGAGAGUAUUGCACAAUGGUGGCAAGCGUGAUGCGACGGCGCCGCGUGGGGGAUGACGGCCUGCGGGUAGAGAACUCCUUUCGCUAGAGACGAAGCGCAAGUGACGGUACCGGGAGAAGAAGCACCGGCUAACUACGUG